rnacentral:rRNA from 1 species
GACGAACGCUGGCGGCGUGCUUAACACAUGCAAGUCGAACGGAAAGGCCCUGCUUUUGUGGGGUGCUCGAGUGGCGAACGGGUGAGUAACACGUGAGUAACCUGCCCUUGACUUUGGGAUAACUUCAGGAAACUGGGGCUAAUACCGGAUAGGAGCUCCUGCUGCAUGGUGGGGGUUGGAAAGUUUCGGCGGUUGGGGAUGGACUCGCGGCUUAUCAGCUUGUUUGUGGGGUAGUGGCUUACCAAGGCUUUGACGGGUAGCCGGCCUGAGAGGGUGACCGGCAACAUGGGGACUGAGAUACGGCCCAGAAUCCAACGGGAGGCAGCAGUGGGGAAUAUUGCAGAAUGGGCGGAAGCCUGAUGCAGCAACGCCGCGUGCGGGAUGACGGCCUUCGGGUUGUAAACAGAUUUCGCCUGUGACGAAGCGUGAGUGACGGUAAUGGGUAAAGAAGGACCGGCUAACUACGUG